rnacentral:lncRNA from 1 species
GGAAGUGGGGGUUCCCCACCUUCCCACCACUCAAGCUCCCUGGAUGUGUCACAGACUUGUACCAUGGCUGGAACACACAGAUGAGUUGAAAGCAUUGCCAGAAGCCUUGUGGCCCAUCUCCGAUGACUGCCCAGGAACUCCCAGGAAUGGCCUGUGGCUCUGUGCACAGCCCCCCAGCACCUCCUUUUCCUGGCAAGCCAGCUGAGCUGUGUCAAAACCUAUCUCAUCUCCUCCUCUGAUAGCACACAGUUUUAAAUAAGAUCUUCAUUUACCAGAAGUUCACACCACCGCGUAUGUGUUAUAUGAGAAGUAGCAAUCUUGUGUUCAUGAGGGAAAUGCAGUCAGGGAGGGUGGAGGAGAGCCGAUUGCAGAGGGAGUGCACAAGGAGGGAGGAACUCGUGGAACCUGAGCUGGUGGCCCAGCCCCGGCCCCAGCCCCAGCCCUGGCAGUGCCAUGCUCCUCUUGGCUCAGCACGGGGCUGGAGGGGGAGGGGCUCCCACUUUGCAAGCUGACCUCAGCUGCUGGAAGGCUUGGAGCAAAUGGGCAUGUGAUGUCACCGUGAGCUCCGCCAGUUGGCAGCCCUGGCCUUGCUUUGGGUCAUUUACAUGUCUUCAGUUGGUUAAGAAGGAGCUCUUACUGCCGAUUUAUUAGUUGCCGCCUGCCUAGCCUUGGUAGCUGUGAUAAGGAAGGGGUUUAGGGGCCAUGGAUGGAUGCCAGUCCCCCAUGGCCAUGCUGCCUCACUUCCCAGCACAGCCUGCCAUGCAGCAUGUCAGUGAAUAAACCAAUUCCAGUAGGAUGGGGCUUGACAGUUUCCAGGGUGUUCUCAUGCAGUCCUCCCAACCACUCUGUGAGAUGGGCAUGAUUACCUUGCUCGUGGAGAGGAAGAAACCAAAGCUCAGGGAGCUUGAGUGCCUUGUACACAAAGCUGCGACCUUACUCCAGGAUUUCUGCCAGCUGUGUCUGCACCUGAUGGGGGACUUGUGGGCAGGUCGCUGUCCCUCUGAAUGUGGUCUGCAGUAUUUCUACUUCCACAGCACUUGUCCAUUCUGAUGGCCUAAAUGCCAAGAGAACAGGGAUCAAGGACCAGUGUGCCCUGUGACCUUGAGCAAGGUUGUUUCUGCCUCAGACCUCAAUUUUCCCAAAGGUAAAGCAAGAGUUGGACUGGGUGGUCUUCCAGGAAGGUAGGACCCCUCGGCUUUUCGUUGCAGGUUUUCAAGUGUGUCCUAGCACCGAGGAGAUGAGGAUCCUGAGGUGGCCCCAUCCCGGGGUCCUGAGGUGGCCCCAUCACGGGGUCCACAGUACAAGGUCAAUGCACUUGUAAUAAAUAUUGAGCCAACCAAUGCUGAGCCGCAUCCCUAGCCUCUGAAUAAAUAAAAUGUUGCCCAGAA